rnacentral:lncRNA from 1 species
UUGUAAACAGUAAGAAUAGUGCCCGCUCCUGCAGCGAGCCAAGAUACGGUAACCUCGAUACUUCUUUGUGUCUCACCGCGGUACGCGCACAGACAUUAAUCUGCGGGCUCCCUCUCCGCACUCCUUCUGUCACUCCCGUGCGUCAGGUCGUUUCCGACGUCGCCUCCACUCCAUCUCCUACGUCCCAUGACUCACCUGUAGCCCCAGGCAGCCCUGCGUCCAUUGGCACAGCGCCCCUCGCCACCUGCCACCCUCUCGCUCAGCAAAUGAACGCACGCACGAUAGCAAAACACCAGCAGUCCGUAGUAUGGCCAAGGGGGGCUGCCGGUUCCCCGGUCCCAUACAGUCACACAUACAUCUUAUUAAGAAACAUCAGCAGGGUUUAUUUGGCGAGUCUCAGUAGAGAAAUAGACAUCCCUACAUCACCCAAUGCGCAUGGCAAUAUCGCACUGAGUGCUUGCUUGCGCAAGCAAUCCAGCAUCAAGUGCGGCCUUUGACACUCCCGCUCGCUCACAUACGGUGUAUUAUCAGUACAGCACGGCAACACUCGCGCGAAUCAGUCCUGUCUCCUGCGGUAAACGCCGACUACCGUAGCACGCCCUGCUGUCGUGCUGACAAUGAGAAAUGUGCGGCGGCACAGCCCUGCUGGUUCACUUGAUAGUGAAUGGGCCCGAUCAGUAGCUAGUAGCGGCGAUUAGCCUAGCUGUCUAUACUUGCACGCAUACGCUGCGGGUGUGCCUCACAUACCAUAAUACCCAGUGCUGCUUCUUUCGCAUAUAACACACGCUCAGCAUGCCCUGCUGGCUCACUUCGAUACUGUGCCAUCCACACACGUACGUGUGACGAGCCCCUCUUGCGAACGGCCGCCGGCACCACAGCUGCGGCGGCUGCGGCUGCUGCUGCUCCUGCUGCUGCUACUGCUACUGCUGCAUCUUCAAAUGGCGAGGGCAGCAAGCCGCUGGCUGCAGGGCUCAUGCAGCUGACGGCGUAACACGGAAGCCAAACGAAACGGAGCGGCCCUUGCCGCUACCAGGCCGCCACCGCUGCCGGUGGCGGGAAGCAGCCGCACGCGCGCUCCAACGCGGCAAACUCCUCCAGCUCCCGCUCCUGCUCAGCCCACGCCGCCGCCGCCAGCUCCAUCGCCAGGCGCAGGCGCGAGGGCAUCACAGCUGACUGCCACUCAUCACCCUGCUGCACCGCCGCGAUCGGCGGAACGACACAGCUGCCCAUGCUGCUGCCGGCGGCGGUGCAGGCCUCCUUGUCAGCGCUAUGCUCCUCCACUGCCGCCUCCACCAACUCCACCUGCUGCGGCGUCUCACUGCCUGCCGCCGCCGCCACCCAGACCAGACUGCAGCUGCUGGCGCUGCGGCUGGUGCGGGCGCUGUCCGGCACGGCGCAGCAGCACGAGCUGAGCGGCGAGUCAGGCGCGUCCAGCCGCUCAGUGACGACGGCCACCUCCUGCGCCGCUUCGGCCGCCGCCGGCACGCACUCGCCCUGGGCCUCUGCUUUCCCCAUCGCCGCCAGCUCCGCCGCCAUCCAGGGCGACAGCGAGGCGAGGUAGGCGCCGAAAUCGCCGGCCUCCUCCGCCUCAACGUCAUCCGCCCAGCGGCGGCCGUUGGGGGUGCCGCCGGUGCCGCUGGCAGCUGCCGCCGCCGCCUGCUCCGCCAGGCCCUCCUUCAGCCAAUCUGCGAGCGACCCGAGGUCGAGCUCCUCCUCCGCCUCCUCAUGCGCCUCAACCUCAUCCGCCCAGCUACCGCUCGCGCCACCGCUGCUGCUAAUGCUGGCGCGAGGAGCAAUGCUGCUGCUGCUGCUGCUGCUGCUGCUGCUGCUGCUGCUGCUGCCGUCAGACUCUGACGCUGCCGCGGGCACGGCCGGUGCGGCUUCCGCCUGCUGCUGCUCGGCCGCCGCGAGCUCCGCCAGUCCCUGCUUCACCCAGGGCGUCUGCUCAAAGAGGUCGCUCAGGUCGAGUCCGUCAGCCUCAUCCUCAUCAUCAUCGCCCCAUCGCGGCGUGGUCGAGCUGCGGUCGACGGUGGAGGUGGAGAUGGGGCUUGCAGCGGCGGCGGGCUUGGUCGGGGCGGCGGGCUUGGUCGGAGCCGCGAGCUUGGGCACCUUGGGCAGGCCGGGCGGCUUCUGCGGGCGCCAGUGGUUGUCGUAGGCAUGGCAAAGCUGGCAAGGGGCGCUCCUGCAGCCAGCAGAUAGGCUGGCAUAGCACCAGCGCAUGCAGGACUUGUGAGGAAAGCAGCAGGCGCUGGGGGCGGGCUCCUGCUGCUCCUGCUGGUGGGCGGCGGCGGAGGGCUCGCUCUCAUCAGAGCCGUGGCCUUGGCUGCGGGGCGUGUGGCGCCAGGCGUCCUGUGCAAACGAGAUCGGGGGAAAAGGAUAGAUGGGGGCGGACAAGCCGUGAGUGCACGGGACGAGGACAAGGGUCGGGGCGCAGAGGGCGGGAGAAAGGGCCGGGGGUCGGGGGCUCGGGCCCCGGCAAAAAAGUCAGGCGCACCGGAAAGGCACGCGCUUUCGGUCAAAGCUGUUGACCGACGCAUUUUACGAGACAAUACAUGCAGCAAUAUGCAGCCAGUGUGGCCGCAGCAGCGCAAGAAGGAACGCCGAGGAAGCCGAGCGCACUACUGGCCCGAAAUCUGCAACGCUAUCUAGCCCGCAUCAGAAGCCUAAUGCUUUGCAUGUGGCAUCGGAUACCCAUUGCAGCUGCUCAAGGCUCAAAAUGGCCGUGCCCGAACAUGAAUGGUGCUCACCUGCAUCGGUCGGCUCGGCUCGAAGUCAAGCCCCGGUGCACUUGCGAUUGACCGUGAUGUGGCCAUAGUAGCUCUCGACCGCACCAAGCACUCUUCGCGCGCAGAACUCGAUUCUGCUGCUAGCGCAAUUCUUUCGCUUGACGGAAACUUUUCCUCGCGGUGCCCGGGAGGGAUUCGCGCUAGGAGCUGCUAGCUCGUGACAGUGGUGGUGCUUGCCGCAGCUUUCAUGCGCAUGCGGUGGAAAUCGAGAGAGGUCGCGAACAGCCCUAGAAAUGCUCUUCUUUGCCGUCAGGUGCUCGUAGCUAAGCAGUGGGCGUAAAAGCUGUUUGUGAGAUGUCUUUGCAUCUGUUGAAUGUGCAAUAUGAGCACAGCGCGAAGCUUUUAUCCAGUGGCGGGGACAGGGUCUCGGGCGCCCAUGCAGGCGACACGCGCCCAAUCCCGAGCCUCCCACUCCUCGCCUGUACCUUGUCCCUGGACCCGCGCCAUCCGUGUCCCGCUGUUCAAUUCCCGCGUUUCAUACCAGCUCCCCUCCCCUGCGUAGGCCGGUAACCCCUGAUCCCGCCGCUGCCGGGGAUGCAGCCGUGCAGGAUGAGGUUGACGGCUGGGGAAGUUGGUGUGGGGAAGUUGGUGUAGGUUGGCGGUGAUCCAGCGGGGUGGGUGCCGAUGUGCUAUAGCGGGCGCGAGGCUGUACACGUCAGGAUCUGGCGAGUGUACUGCUCAAGCUGGCUUUGUGAUGGCCCCCAAGCGUAGGUGAGGUAGGCGCACGGCGGUGACAAGGCAUGCGGCCAGUGGAACUGCCUUACAGUUACAGCCCGCCCAAGCGCGGUUGUUGCCCUGCCAUGAUUUCCGUGCAGUCUGCUAGCUUCGGCAGGGACGGUGCCCAUCAGUUCCCGAUGUUGACAAACCAUGCAUCCAGCCGCCCACACGUGCUCUUCGUUCGUCACAUACCGUACUCGAACUCCAAUGUCCACAGAGCGUGUGCGCGAAAUCCACACGCCACACACGCAAGUGACAGCCGCCCGUCCUUGCACAGCAAGCAUCUCCGCGCACGGUCGCACGCUUCUCUAGCCCCAACGAACCGCAAACCACAAAUCAAGUCACACCCACCUCAGCAUUAGAAGUGCACACCCGCCUAUCGAAUGUCGGAUGAUGAUAAGGCAACAAGUAGGUCUACUGCACCCAUGCAUGGAUGGAAAGAAUCAAUGGACCUGUGGAUAUAGGAUCCGGCCUUCUCAAGGGUCCUCGCGCAUUUACUAAAGAGCCAAGGGGUCUAGUAUGUAAGAAUCAAUGCCAGUCUCAAGUCAAGCACACUGCUGCCGCUUCCUGGCAUCUGGAAUGCCGGAAGGGUCGGAGGAACUUGCACCCACAGAACGUACACGUCGUGUCACUGACAGCCCACUCGAGUCUUGUAAACAGUAAGAAUAGUGCCCGCUCCUGCAGCGAGCCAAGAUACGGUAACCUCGAUACUUCUUUGUGUCUCACCGCGGUACGCGCACAGACAUUAAUCUGCGGGCUCCCUCUCCGCACUCCUUCUGUCACUCCCGUGCGUCAGGUCGUUUCCGACGUCGCCUCCACUCCAUCUCCUACGUCCCAUGACUCACCUGUAGCCCCAGGCAGCCCUGCGUCCAUUGGCACAGCGCCCCUCGCCACCUGCCACCCUCUCGCUCAGCAAAUGAACGCACGCACGAUAGCAAAACACCAGCAGUCCGUAGUAUGGCCAAGGGGGGCUGCCGGUUCCCCGGUCCCAUACAGUCACACAUACAUCUUAUUAAGAAACAUCAGCAGGGUUUAUUUGGCGAGUCUCAGUAGAGAAAUAGACAUCCCUACAUCACCCAAUGCGCAUGGCAAUAUCGCACUGAGUGCUUGCUUGCGCAAGCAAUCCAGCAUCAAGUGCGGCCUUUGACACUCCCGCUCGCUCACAUACGGUGUAUUAUCAGUACAGCACGGCAACACUCGCGCGAAUCAGUCCUGUCUCCUGCGGUAAACGCCGACUACCGUAGCACGCCCUGCUGUCGUGCUGACAAUGAGAAAUGUGCGGCGGCACAGCCCUGCUGGUUCACUUGAUAGUGGGCCCGAUCAGUAGCUAGUAGCGGCGAUUUGCCUAGCCGUCUAUACUUGCACGCAUACGCUGCGGGUGUGCCUCACAUACCAUAAUACCCAGUGCUGCUUCUUUCGCAUAUAACACACGCUCAGCAUGCCCUGCUGGCUCACUUCGAUACUGUACCAUCCACACACGUACGUGUGACGAGCCCCUGUUGCAAAAGGCCGCCGGCACCACAGCUGCGGCUGCUGCGGCUGCUGCUGCCGCUGCUACUGCUGCAUCUUCAAAUGGCGAAGGCAGCAAGCCGCUGGCUGCUGGGCUCAUGCAGCUGACGGCGUAACACGGAAUGAAGCCAAACGGAACGGAGCGGCCCUUGCCGCUACCAGGCCGCCACCGCUGCCGGUGGCGGGAAGCAGCCGCACGCGCGCUCCAACGCGGCAAACUCCUCCAGCUCCCGCUCCUGCUCGGCCCACGCCGCCGCCGCCAGCUCGAUCGCCAGGCGCAGGCGCGAGGGCAUCACAGCUGACUGCCACUCAUCACCCUGCUGCACUGCCGCAAUUGGCGGAACGACACAGCUGCCCAUGCUGCUGCCGGCGGCGGUGCAGGCCUCCUUGUCAAUGCUCUGCCGCUCCGCUGCCACCUCCACCGCCUCCACCUGCUGCGGCGUCUCACUGCCUGCCGCCGCCGCCACCCAGACCAGACUGCAGCUGCUGGCGCUGCGGCUGGUGCGGGCGCUGUCCGGCACGGCGCAGCAGCACGAGCUGAGCGGCGAGUCAGGCGCGUCCGGCCGCUCAGUGACAACGGCCACCUCCUGCUCCGCUUCGGCCGCCGCCGGCACGCACUCGCCCUGGGCCUCUGCUUUCCCCAUCGCCGCCAGCUCCGCCGCCAUCCAGGGCGACAGCGAGGCGAGGUAGGCGCCGAAAUCGUCGGCCUCCUCCUCCUCGACGUCAUCCGCCCAGCGGCGGCCGCUGGGGGUGCCGCCGGUGCCGCUGGCAGAUCCCGCCGCCGCCUGCUCCGCCAGGCCCUCCUUCAACCAAUCUGCAAGCGACCCGAGGUCGAGCUCCUCCUCCUCCUCCGCCUCCUCGUGCGCCUCGACUUCAUCCGCCCAGCUACCGCUCGCGCCACCGCUGCUGCUAAUGCUGGCGCGAGGAGCAAUGCUGCUGCUGCUACUGCUGCUGCUGCUGCCGUCAGACUCUGACGCUGCCGCGGGCGCGGCCGGUGCGGCUUCCGCCUGCUGCUGCUCGGCCGCCGCGAGCUCCGCCAGUCCCUGCUUCACCCAGGGCGUCUGCUCAAAGAGGUCGCUCAGGUCGAGUCCGUCAGCCUCAUCCUCAUCAUCAUCGCCCCAUCGCGGCGUGGUCGAGCUGCGGUCGACGGUGGAGGUGGAGAUGGGGCUGGCAGCGGCGGCGGGCUUGGUCGGGGCGGCGGGCUUGGUCGGAGCCGCGAGCUUGGGCACCUUGGGCAGGCCGGGCGGCUUCUGCGGGCGCCAGUGGUUGUCGUAGGCAUGGCAAAGCUGGCAGGGGGCGCUCCUGCAGCCAGCAGAUAGGCUGGCAUAGCACCAGCGGAUGCAGAACUUGUGGGGAAAGCAGCAGGCGCUGGGGCCGGGCUCCUGCUGCUCCUGCUGGUGGGCGGCGGCGGAGGGCUCGCUCUCAUCAGAGCCAUGGCCUUGGCUGCGGGGCGUGUGGCGCCAGGCGUCCUGUGCAAACGAGAUCGGGGGAAAGGAUAGAUGGGGGCGGACAAGCCGUGAGUGCACGGGACGAGGACAAGGGUCGGGGCGCAGAGGGCGGGACAAAGGGCCGGGGGUCGGGGGCUCGAGCCCCGGCAAAAAAGUCAGGCGCACCGGAAAGGCACGCGCUUUCGGUCAAAGCUGUUGACCGACGCAUUUUACGAGACAAUACAUGCAGCAAUAUGCAGCCAGUGUGGCCGCAGCAGCGCAAGAAGGAAGGCUGAGGAAGCAGAGCGCACUACUGACCCGAAAUCUGCAACGCUAUAUAGCCCGCAUCCGAAGCCUAAUGCUUUGCAUGUGGCAUCAGAUACCCAUUGCAGCUGCUCAAGGCUCAAAAUGGCCGUGCCCGAACAUGAAUGGUGCUCACCUGCAUCGGUCGGCUCGGCUCGAAGUCAAGCCCCGGUGCACUUGCAAUUGACCGUGAUGUGGCCAUAGUAGCUCUUGACCGCACCAAGCACUCUUCGCGCGCAGAACUCGAUUCUGCUGCUAGCGCAAUUCUUUCGCUUGAUGGAGUUUCCUCGCGGUGCCCGGGAGGGAUUCGCGCUAGAAGCUGCUAGUUCGUGAUAGUGGUGGUGCUUGCCGCAGCGUUCAUGCGCAUGCGGUGGAAAUCGAGAGAGGUCGCGAACAGCCCUAGAAAUGCUCUUCUUUGCCGUCGAUAAGCUCAGGUGCUCGUAGCUAAGCAGUGGGCGUAAAAGCUGUUUGCGGGAUGUCUUUGCAUCUGUUGAUUGUGCAAUAUGAGCACAGCGCGAGAAGCUUUUAUCCGGUGGCGGGGACAGGGUCUCGGGCGCCCAUGCAGGCGACACGCGCCUAAUCCCGAGCCUCCCUCCUCGCCUUUACCUUGUCCCUGGACCCGCGCCAUCCGUGCCCCGCUGUUCACUUCCCUCGUUUCAUACCAGUUCCCCUCCCCUGCGUAGGCCGGUAACCCCUGAUCCCGCCGCUGCCAGGGAUGCAGCUGUGCAGGAUGAGGUUGACGGCUGUGGAUUGCAUUGGUUACAAGAGGGACCUGCUGACGCAGUUCACGAGCCAGUGACGUGUGGAAGUUGGUGUAGGUUGGCGGUGAUCCAGCGGGGUGGGUGCCGAUGUGCUAUAGUGGGCGCGAGGCUGUACACGUCAGGACCUGGCGAGUGUACUGCUAAAGCUGACUUUGUGAUGGCCCCCAAGCGUAGGUGAGGUAGGCGCACGGUGGUGACAAGGCAUGCGGCCAGUGGAACUGCCUUACAGUUACAGCCCGCCCAAGCGCGGUUGUUGCCCUGCCAUGAUUUCCGUGGAGUCUCUAGCUCCGGCAGGGACGGUCCCCAUCAGUUCCCGUAGUGGACCAUGCAUCCAGCCGCCCACACGUGCUCUCCGUUCGUCACAUACAGUACUCGAACUCCAAUGUCCACAGAGCGUGUGCGCGAAGUCCACACGCCACACACGCAAGUGGCAGCCGCCCGUCCUUGCACAGCAAGCAUCUCCGCGCACGGUCGCACGCUUCACUAGCCCCAACGAACCGCCUACCACAAAUCAAGUCACACCCACCUCAGCAUUAGGAGUGCACAUCCGCCUGUCGAAUGUCGGAUGAUGAUAGGGCAACAAGUAGGUCUAGAGAAAUGAAAGCUAGUAGGUCUACUGCACCCAUGCAUGGAUGGAAAGAAUCAAUGGACCUUUGGAUAUAGGAUCCGGCCUUCUCAAGGGUCCUCGCGCAUUUACUAAAGAGCCAAGGGGUCUAGUAUGUAAGAAGCAAUGCCAGUCUCAAGUCAAGCACACUGCUGCCGCUUCCUGGCAUCUGGAAUGCCGGAAGGGUCGGAGGAACUUGCACCCACAGAACGUACACGUCGUGUCACUGACAGCCCACUCGAGUCUUGUAAACAGUAGAAAUCGUGCCCGCUCCUGCAGCGAGCCAAGAUACGGUAACCUCGAUACUUCUUUGUGUCUCACCGCGGUACGCGCACAGACAUUAAUCUGCGGGCUCCCUCUCCGCACUCCUUCUGUCACUCCCGUGCGUCAGGUCUUCUCCGACGUCGCCUCCACUCCAUCUCCUACGUCCCAUGACUCACCUGUAGCCCCAGGCAGCCCUGCGUCCAUUGGCACAGCGCCCCUCGCCACCUGCCACCCUCUCGCUCAGCAAAUAAACGCACGCGCGAUAGCAAAACACCAGCAGUCCGUAGUAUGGCCAAGGGGGGCUGCCGGUUCCCCGGUCCCAUACAGUCACACAUACAUCUUAUUAAGAAAAAUCAGCAAGGUUUAUUUGGCGAGUCUCAGUAGAGAAAUAGACAUCCAUACAUCACCCAAUGCGCAUGGCAAUAUCGCACAGAGUGCUUGCUUGCGCAAGCAAUCCAGCAUCAAG